rnacentral:lncRNA from 1 species
UCGGAAGGUAAUAAAAGAUGUUGGCAGCACUAAGGCAGGAAGAGCUGAAGUAGGACCUUCACGACCUGCAUAAUGUAGUUUCAUCUAAGAGAAUUAUUAAUCAAGUUACCUGCAUAAUGUAGUUUCAUCUAAGAGGAUUAUUAAUCAAGUUGUGGUGAACCCUUACGGAGUGGUUCCUAUUGUGAAAGGUCACUGCACUCAAAGGUGCAACCUAGUUGUUAAUGAAGUUGGAUUGAGGAUUAUGACAAGAGGCGACCUAAGGGUAAUGCAAAUGAAGCCCUUGCUUAGGCCCCCAAAAUAUUAAGGGCCCGAAUUUUAAGUACUAUGUGUCACAUAUAUUUUAUGUAAUUAUUAUUAAUAAAAUAUUUUAAAAGUUUUAAUGAAAGUUGUACGGUUGAGUGAUAAAUAACGAUAAAUUUCUCUUUCGUUUAAUUAAAUAAAUGAUGCAUUUACCUUCAUUAUCAAAUCUGAUUUUUCCUCUCUAUG